CUGGUUAAUAGUUUUAAUUGUACAUGAUCUUGGGCAUACAAUUUUCACUAUUGAACAUUUUAUAUAAAAAUUACAAUACAAGAUUUUCAAAUGAGACAAUACUUAUUAAACUAGCUAGUUUACAAGACAUUAUGAAGCUUUACCUGAAAAAUACCUUAAGUAAAAUAAACAUUCGCUCUACAAGUUCCCUCUGAUUUAAAAAAAUGAAUAGAAAUGUACAUUUCAAUUUAAAAAAAAAAUCAAGACAAUGGUUAAAUAAAUACUGAUUAAUCAGUUACACUUGAAAACUUUAUAACCUAUACAUGAGUGCACAUUUAGAUAAAAGUUUGCAAAUUAUUAAUAUAAAAUUGCAGUACUCAAAUCAGAUGAACUGAGCUGCUGUCAAUAUUUUUCCCCUCUAUGAACUGGAAAUAAUUUUCAAUAAACUAUUGUGUCCAGUCUUUAAAAACACAUCUGCAGCAUUUCCAUUUAGCAAUAUGGAGAAUACAAAUAUCUGGAGAGAAGGGGUGGGAGAACUAACCCCACUCAUUAUUUGGUGAGAAAUAAUUUUCAUUAUGAAAGAGUAAAGAAAUAAAACACUCAUCAAGGUCGUGCUAAGCAACAACUAUUUAAAAAAAUUUUUUGAUAAAAUUUAAUGGGGUUGAGGAAGGGAAGGGAGAUAUGGUAUGAGAAAGGGUAUAUGAAAAUAGAAAUUGAAACUAUUUUUCACAAACUUCUUUUGAGGAAAUAGCUUGUUGCCCAUAGAGAAAAUAUAAAUCAAACGAAAGGCAUUAUUAUCCUUUGGGCCUUCCUUAUAGGAGAAUGUCUCCCAAGAAAGCAACAGCUCCACAGUGAGCAUCACAGUGGAUUGUACUUCAGUCUCAAACAUUAGCCCCAAUCAUUCUGAUGGGGAAAUUGAUUCCUAACUAAAAACAUGGAGGAAAGAAUCGAGGUAGAAAUUUUGGAAAAAGUUUCCCAGGAAAUUCCCCAUAGGAAGGGAGUGAGGGUUAGUGUUAAGUUUUAGGAUUGUGAAGUUUAGGAGAGCAACCACACUGGUGAACAAGAAAGGCUACUUGUUGUACUGAGGCAAUGCUUGGUGAAACCAUUAUUCACAGGUAGGUUAAAAAAAUACUUUCUAAAAUUUUAAACCUGGCAGAUAAGACGAAUCUAUCUAUAAUCUUCCUUUUCAGCUAAGGGUUUUUAUAGGUUUGUUUUUUAAACUUUUCUUCACUUUCCUAUAGGCAGAUUUUUAACACUUCAUUGAUUUGGUGGGUUUUUUUUUUUUUUUUGUUUGUUUUGUUUUUUUGAGAAAAGGAAGAGAUAAUGAAAGUUACUUUCAUAGUCAAAAUAAAUCAGAUAUACAUUUCUAUUUUUGAAAAUUUCUUUUAAAUUUCACUAUCUCAGUCCCAAAGAGAUUAAAGAUGUACUAAAAAUAUUUUAACUUGUUUAAUCAUGAAAUAAUACAGAGUGGCCAAGACAAAUCUAGUAAUGUUGAAUGUACUUUUUGGUUUGUUUUUUUUGGGGAGGGUGGAGGUAGGAGAGAUGUUACUGAAUUUCAUCAUGGUUACAAGAGCAACACAUGGGGAAUUUCCUUAACCAAUACAAAGUAGCACAUUCACUUCAAUUUAGGUUCUUUUUGAAAAGCCAAUAUUAAAACAUCAAUAAGUUAAUAAAUUUACUCAGAAUAAGUACAUAAUAAAAAUUGGACUUGAAUCCAGAUCCUAUUUCUGUGGCUAGUUUUCUAUCCACUUUUUUAUGGCACUGGGUAUCCUUUGAUUAGGAAAUUUUAUCUGACAAAGAGUUUAAGUAAUGCUGCUACAAAAUGGGCUUAAGAGUAAGAAACCUUAGAAGAACAAUUUGGUUAUAUUUUUGGAGAUCAAAAAGCAAAAAAACAAGAACAAACUGACUUCUAACAACAGGAAUCUUUCCAGCAGCCAUACCCAGAUGCUUCUUAAUCCCAAAAUAUGUCGUCCUCCCUCCACUCCCACCCACACGCUCUGUCGGCUGUUUUGUUUGGCACAUACCAGCUCAAGUCACUGAGGGCGGGCCAACAAAGAAAUUCUUUUUAACCAAACUCAGACUUCCUAUGACUAAUUCUGGUAUGAACAAAGCAGAUGAACCUAAAAUAUGAGGGAGAAAAAUCCUUCCUGACAUUUAAAAUGGUUAGAAUUUCAAGAAAGGCUGAGUUGAGGGACUCAUCAUGUGAUGGCAAUUUGGAGGCUGAAAUUUAUGGUAGAAACAAACAUUUUAGCCAAGAUUUGCCAAAAAAGGAAAAAAGAAUUGUCUUAACUAGUCUUGGAAACAAGUUGCUCAUUUUGGAAUGAUGGAGAGUAAGAGAUUUUCCCAUUUUGUUUUAAAAGGCCAAUAAGCUGAAUAUGGAAACUAUGUUUUAGAUUUUAGUUUGAUUAUAUAUAUAUGAUUAUUAAUAGAGGAAAGUCUUUAAAGAAAUGAAAGAAUAAAAAAAACAGGCCUGAGAAUUGGAGGCUUAGUUUUAUAUUUGUUUUUUAUAAUUGUGUGCUUCUCCCCUUUCCCCUCCUCUCCCCCCACCAUAAUACAGCAGAAAAGUUUUUCCCCCUAUGUGGCCUACAGAGGAGGAGCCUCUAAAGGCACAAGGGGAAAUGAUUCUAAUAGCCAAAGUCCUAGCAGCCACAGUUUCUAGUACUACCCUCAAAUCUUUAGGAUUAUUUUGUGCUAAACUGCAAGAACCUAUGUCAGCUAUCAACAUUAUCAGUGUUAUAUGAGAAUUAUAUGAGAGAAUUAACCUCUUGCCCCCCAAAUGAAACCACUGCUCUAAAGUUUUUUUUUUUUGUUGUUGUUGUUGUUGUUCGUUUUUUGCAUUUACAGGCUAUAAUUACAAUCAUCCUUCAGGCCUAAUAGGGCCUUUUUUUUUUCUUUUAACAACAGCUCUUAAAAAUAAAUUAGAUAUAAAAAUAAACAUGGCUAACAUUUAUUCUAUGCAUUUGUAUUAUAUUAUAAAAGUAUCCAUUCUCUACAAGAUUUCAAUGGUCCAACUUCUCAAACUAGAUUGCCUGAAACUGGUCUAGUGAAGUAACAAUUCUAUAAGAUACAUCAAGUUUUAAAUUAAAUUUUUGUAAAUUUUUGUCAUUUAAUAUUCACAGAAUGUACUCUGCUUCGUUAGUUUGAAGGCACUAUACAAAGAGUUACAUUUUUGUAUACCCUAAAUAAAGGCAAUAAGUGAAGUCUCCAUAUUUACUAAUAACUGAAAUCCAUAGAUGCAAGUAAUACAUAGUUUGAA
ensembl:lncRNA